UACAGAGGGGGCAAGCGUUAUUCGGAAUUAUUGGGCGUAAAGGGCGCGUAGGCGGUUCUUCAAGUCUCUCGUGAAAUCCCUCGGCUUAACUGAGGACGUGCGGGAGAUACUGAAGGGCUUGAGUCCGGAAGAGGGUGGUGGAAUUCCCAGUGUAGCGGUGAAAUGCGUAGAUAUUGGGAAGAACACCGGUGGCGAAGGCGGCGAGCUGGCCUGUACCUGACGCUGAGGCGCGACAGCGUGGGGAGCAAACAGG
rnacentral:rRNA from 1 species